rnacentral:rRNA from 1 species
AUUGAACGCUGGCGGCAGGCCUAACACAUGCCAGUCGAGCGAGCGGCGGACGGGUGAGUAAUGUCUGGGAAAAUGCCUGAUGGAGGGGGAUAACUACUGGAAACGGUAGAUAAUACAGCAUACCAUCAGAUGUGCCCAGAUGGGAUUAGCUAGUAGGUGGGGUACCGGCGCACCGAGGCGACGAUCCCCAGCUGGUAUGAGAGGCUGACCAGCCAACCUGGAACUGAGACACGGGCCAGACUCCUACGGGAGGAGGCAGUGGGGAAUAUUGCACAAUGGGCGAAAUCCUGAUGCAGCCAUGCCGCGUGUGUUAAGAUGGCCUUCGGGUUGGAAAGCACUUUCAGCGGGGAGGCGUUACCCGCAGAAGAAGCACCGGCUAACUCCGUGCCAGCAGCCGCGGUAAUAC